rnacentral:rRNA from 1 species
CCUACGGGAGGCUGCAGUAGGGAAUAUUGCUCAAUGGGGGAAACCCUGAAGCAGCAACGCCGCGUGGAGGAUGAAGGUUUUCGGAUUGUAAACUCCUUUUGUUAGAGAAGAUAAUGACGGUAUCUAACGAAUAAGCACCGGCUAACUCCGUGCCAGCAGCCGCGGUAAUACGGAGGGUGCAAGCGUUACUCGGAAUCACUGGGCGUAAAGCGCGCGUAGGCGGGAUAGCAAGUCAGAUGUGAAAUCCUAUGGCUUAACCAUAGAACUGCAUUUGAAACUGUUAUUCUAGAGUAUGGGAGAGGUAGGUGGAAUUCUUGGUGUAGGGGUAAAAUCCGUAGAGAUCAAGAGGAAUACUCAUUGCGAAGGCGACCUGCUAGAACAUAACUGACGCUGAUGCGCGAAAGCGUGGGGAGCAAACAGGAUUAGAUACCCUAGUAGGC